CUACUACUGCCUCUGUCCGAAAAUACUUGUCAUUUAAAUGGAUGUAUCUAGAUGUAUUUUAGUUCUAGACACAUCCAUUUUGAUGACAAGUAACUCCGGACGGAGGGAGUAUUAU
rnacentral:pre_miRNA from 1 species